AACGCACAUUGCGCCCUUUGGUAUUCCUUAGGGCAUGCCUGUUCGAGCGUCAUUUGAACCCUCAAGCUCAGCUUGGUGUUGGGCGCCUGUCCCCCCGCGGGACUCGCCUUAAAUCCAUUGGCAGCCGGUACGUUGGCUUCGAGCGCAGCAGAAACGCGCCUGGCGUCUGACGGUGCCGGCUCACCAGUAAGCCAUCAUCCACAGUUUGACCUCGGAUCAGGUAGGGAUACCCGCUGAACUUAA
rnacentral:misc_RNA from 1 species